ensembl:lncRNA
GCAAAAUAAAACUUUUUAUUUUACCUGCACUUAUUCCUUCUUAUAUGCUCUUCUUUAUGUCGAUCCAAGUUUCUGGCUUAUAUCAUUUUUCUUCUCUCUAAGGAACUUCUUUUAAUAUUUCUGGCAAUGUAGGUCUACUGGCAACAAACUCCCUCAAUUUUUGUUUAUCUUGGAAAGUAUUUCUCCUCUAUUUUUAAAGGAUAAUUUUAUAGGAUACAGAAUUCUUGGCUGAUGGGUUUUUCUCUGAAAAUUUUAAAUAUUUCACUCCACUCUUUUCUUCCUUGCACAGUUUCUGAGGAGAAGUCAAAUGUAAUUCUUAUUUUUGUCUCUUUGUAGGGAAGUGGUUUUCCUCCUGGCUUCUUUCAGGAUUUUUCUUUGAUUUUCUGCAGUUUGAAGAUAAUAUGCCUAGGGGUAGUGUUUUUUGGUAUUUUCCCUGCUUGGUGUUUUCUGAGUGUCCUGGAUCUGUGGUUUUAGUGUCUGACAUUAAUUUGGGGAGAUUCUCAGUCUUAUUAUUUCACAUAUUUCUGUUACUUUCUCUCUUUAUUCUCCUGCUGGUAUUUCCACUAUGCAUAUGUUAUGUUUUUUGUGAUUGUCCUAAAGCUCCUGGAUACUCUAUUCUGCUUUUUUCAGUCUUCGUUCUCUUUGCUUUUUGGUUUUUGAGGUUUCUAUUGAUGUAUCUUCCAGCUUGGAGAUUCUCUCAGCUGUGUCCAGUCUACUAAUAAGCCCAUCAAUGGCAUUCCUCAUUUGUUACAGUGUUUUUGAUCUGUAGACUUCUUUUUGGUUCCUUCUUAGCAUUUCCAUCAUUCUGGUUACACUCCCCAUCUGUUCUUUCAUGUUGUCCACUUUAUCCCUUAGAGCCCUUGGCAUAUUCAUCACAUGAAUGUAAAUAGGGCUUUAGGAAUGUAGUGAGCUGUAGGUGGGGUUCGGGAGCAGUCUAUGGUCCUAUGAUUUGGUUACAUUUUAGUAAGCUUCAGCCUCUGGGCUGUGAACCUCACAAGUGCCUCUCAGUUUUAUUCUUCCCGCUCAGGUGGGACAGGAUAGCUAGAGCAGGCUGGAGUUUAUUUCCCUUCCUCAGGUCAGUUAGGCUCUGUUAAUACUCUGGCUAGUUAAGCUCUGGUUAACUAGUUUCUCCUGAGGGCAGACCCUGUUAAGAAGAACAGACGGCUCUGCUGUAAUUCAAAAUAGUUUCUUUUCCACUCCCUCUGCUGGAAGCUGAAGGGGAUUUUCUCUGAUGUUUAUUUUAGGAACCUGGUGGAGCUCCUGGAGGUAAACCUCACAAUAUUUUGGGGACUCCCCUAUGACUGAGUUCCCCUGGUGUUUUUAAUUUCUGACUUAUCCACACUGAGCCUUCAGCAAUUCAUCAAAUACACUUCAGGAUUUCCUACCCAGCACUGAUCCUGGCGUAGUUUCUGCGGGAAACGGGCAGCAAAUGGGAAGUCUCCAGGACGUGGGGAGAGAGAGCUCUGAACAUACAAAACAACCAUCCAGGGAAAACCAGCAUUCAAGCAUCUUCCCACAGAAAUUGGUCGCACCAACUCCAGAUUAUAACAACGCUAGUCAGGGAGGACUGCUUUGAUGCCUGACCACUCCUUCCUUCAUUUAUCCAAAACCUGGGGUGGAAUAUGGCUGCCCCCAUUUCCCCACUGUUGGAGAAUUUACCGGACAAGACAAGCUAGGAGAGCAAAGAAGUAUUUAUUUGGGUGAGACUGAUAUUUUGAUAUCAGAAUGAACUUGUUCAUGUUGAAAAUGAUAUUGUUCUUUAGUGCCUUGAAGUGCUCGGGAAGGUAUGGGACCCAACUGACAUAGUUUUCAGGGUGAGAAGAUAUGACAAGAGCAAGCUUAAAUAUAUGGGAGAAAGAAAUGAAGUUGCUUUCUCCUUCUAACCUAUUGAUUUUAGCUCUUUCUACUUAUGUUAAUUUUACCAUCACUUUUUACCACAGUGGUCUGUUUUAAUAAUGUAUUCACAGAUAAUUUCUAAUGUUUAUGAAAUAUGUUUCAAAAUAUAUACUUUCAUAACUACAGCUCCUAUAAUAUUAGCUUUAGUGGUGACAUUAAUAUUUGGCCCCGAAAACUGUAAACUACCAGUGCCAAGGGGUCGUGUGUCUCUCCAGUGCCUAGCACAGGCCCAUUGUAAAGGUGUUUAACAUGUUUCUGAAGGAUUCUUCGAAUGAGAGAUGGAAAAACCUGCAUGAGGCAUAACCACGUAGGCACUUUUGAUGUCACCUUGCUAAUAAGUAUAUCAGGCAUGAUGUGAGAUUACUUUCUGUUUUUAAAAAUAUCUUUUGAUGCACUGGGACUCAAAUGAAAAUGAAGUUACAUUGGGAGAAUCAUUAGGGUGCAUUAUUGUCUGUGAAAGUCUCCCAAAGGCAGAUACGUUUUCUUUACUCAAGUGACGGAGUUACCCUGUUAUUAGAGACAAUAGAAAAAUAGAAACACACAAUAAGAAAACUGAAAACAAAAAACAAAACUUUCUCAAGGAAGCCUAACUUAAUAACAUAUUUUAUGGAUAUUUAUGGAAAUUUCACCUUGUAUUUUUUUUUCCUUUUGCACUGCUUUGUGGGUUUAUGGCAAAUGUACAGACUAUUUCCUCCUAAUUGCACCCUGCUCUCAGUCUUGACUUUAUCAUUGAGGGCAGCGUUCUGCUCGUUUACAAUGGUCCCUUUUUAAAUGAAAGAUCAGAGAUUCAGUAAUCUUGAUACAGUACUCUUUUAGUGUAAUGAUGCUUAUUAUUGUAGCCCUUUUAGUUAAUAUCUAAAGAGAGGUCUUUGAAGAUGGCACUAUCCUAGCUCACUUAAAAGCAAAAUUAGAUUAGUCAAUUUGCCUUAGCUCACAACACAUGUCCAUUAGGUUUCUUAAUGGAUUUGGAAAACUCAGUAAUUCCUUGCUCAGAUUAGAUUUUAUUAGAUUUGGAUGUCUUUCAUACUAACUUUUAAAGAUCUGCAGACAGUAUAAUCAAAUUAAAGUCCCAGACUCAAUGGCUUACAAUAUAUUAUAACAUUUUUAUUGGCUCUUCGCAAGCACCUAAAGUCACAUUGAGAGCAUUAGGAUGCUGAGAGUUCACGAAAUUAAAUUCAGAAGGCGAGAAAUUGGCAAAUCCUUGCGUUGUAGAAUUGUUUUUCCCUUGUCAGGAUAUUCCUUUUUUGUUUCACAUUCUUUUACGGUUAUCAGGGAGGAGAAAAACAUAUAUUGUUUAUAAAAUAAGAAAAAAAAUUUAAUACGUUUUACAUAUAUAUAUAGUAUAAGAAGGAAUAACACAAAAUAGAGAAAUUACCUCUCAUUUUGUACCUAGUUGUUAUGAUACAUAUGUGGUAAUUAAGUGCCAUAUUGAUGCCAUCAUAAUUGAAACCUAUUUGAUUAAUUAAAUUACCAGAAAAUAAAAGCCAUGCAUUACAAUAUUUUUUCUAAAUACUAACUACAGAGAAAAUGACGUUUUAAAUAAAAUCAUUUUAAUAGUUUACUGCUGAAUAUGAAGUUUUUCUUUAAAAUGAUUCGAGUUCAAUAAUUAAUGGUGGUGAAACAAUAAAAUCAGUAUCAAUUUAAUAUUUUAAGCACAUGAAACGAAUGGUAUAUCUCAGCUUUGUAUACCUCAUUGAACAUCAUGUUUCGUUGUAAUUGGUGUGAAGAGAUUUUGGCCAUCUACAAAUGUAAAAAUGUAUUUAUCCAAUUAUUUUCAAAAUGUCAACUGGGUGAGAUGUAAAAGGUAAAUUGAUGCUGCAAGUGUGGCAUGUGCAUAAGCGUGUGCGUCUCACAGUCAAUCUUUCCAUGGAAAUGGCUCUUCUGGUAUCACAUUUCUUUAGUUUCAACUUGAACUAAGAUCCUUUGGAGGUUUUGCUGAUUAUCUUUCUAUACAUUUUUUUUCUUGUACAGCAAACUAAUGUGCUCAGUCUUUAGUAUAUCCUGGGCAUGCGCCUUUAAACCUACCUGUAUUUUUAUCAUUGUUGGGGUAAAAAGCUAGAACAAGAGAGAGGGUAGACUAACCACUGCGUGAAAGUAGGGUCAUAAAUGAAAACACCAUUGGAGAAGGGAUUGAACAAUCCUAGUUUCUGUCAUUUCUUUCUCAGAUUGAAGAGUCCUUACCUGCUCCGUAAUGUGAUAGCUCCUCCCACCACAAGGAUUAUCCUCAGAAACACUCUGUUUUCUCUAGUUUUUCAGGCAACUGCUUUUUCCUUCUACAAGCUGAAAAUAUUAGCUUUUCAUUACAUCCCAUGACUGUCUCUUUCAAUAGAUUAUAAGUAAUCCCAAACACAAUAUAUACGAAAUGAACAGUUUUAGCUGACCACUGAUCACAGCUAACUUAUCAGGAAGUUUCUCCCACUUGACUGAGAGCAAUAUGUUUAUUCUGCAUUAUAACUUGGGACCACAUAAAUUAUUAUCCAAAUUGAGAUGAUAUUAAGAUUAAAAAGGAGCACUAUUAAUAAUUAUGCUAGGAAAGUGAGUAUAAACUAGUGCUGUCACAGGAAAGCCAAUAUGUAUGAUUAUCUUAAUUAUGACACUUUAGAUUUUGCAUAUACAUACUUUUUUAAAGUUAUGUUGCAUGCAAGGAUGUGAUCUUUUGUAGUGAGAAAUUGUUCACAUGCGUAUAUAUAUUCUCACAAAUCAAAAUGUCAAUUCUGUGAAGCCUGGGACUAUAUUUUGUGCUAAUUUUAAUUUU